UCUUUUCUUCUUCUACAACAAACCUUUUUUGCUUGUUUUUUGUUUUUCGUAAGUUUCCUCCCCUUUCAUGUGUGUAGUUUUUAUGCGUCGAUUAAUGCACCCUUCCAGAGGCAGGAUUGAUCACGGAGGGCCUCUUUACCAACCUUGCUACCCUCAUGAUAAUGUGCGAGUAGUUCACCACAGAUCUACGGGUCUAUAGUUAGUACCUAG
rnacentral:lncRNA from 1 species